rnacentral:rRNA from 1 species
CCUACGGGGUGCAGCAGUGAGGAAUAUUGGUCAAUGGGCGCGAGCCUGAACCAGCCAAGUCGCGUGAGGGAGGACGGCCCUACGGGUUGUAAACCUCUUUUGCCGGGGAGCAACGUGCGCCACGUGUGGCGUCACUGAGAGUACCCGGAGAAAAAGCAUCGGCUAACUCCGUGCCAGCAGCAGCGGUAAUACGGAGGAUGCGAGCGGUAUCCGGAUUUAUUGGGUUUAAAGGGUGCGUAGGCGGAUCGUUAAGUCCGUGGUCAAAUUUGGGGGCUCAACCCCUUCCCGCCAUUGAAACUGGCGUUCUUGAGUGGAAGAGAAGUAUGCGGAAUGCGUGGUGUAGCGGUGAAAUGCAUAGAUAUCACGCAGAACCCCGAUUGCGAAGGCAGCAUGCCGGCUUCCGACUGACGCUGAAGCACGAAAGCGCGGGGAUCGAACAGGAUUAGAUACCCGAGUAGUC